CAGCACCCCGAGUGGUCGGGACGAUUAUUGGGCCUAAAGCAUCCGUAGCCGGUCUUGCAAGUCUUCCGUUAAAUCCAGCUGCUUAACGGAUGGGCUGCGGAAGAUACUACAAGACUAGGAGGCGGAAGAGGCAAGCGGUACUCAGUGGGUAGGGGUAAAAUCCUCUGAUCCAUUGAAGACCACCAGUGGCGAAGGCGGCUUGCCAGAACGCGCUCGACGGUGAGGGAUGAAAGCUGGGGGAGCAAACCGGAUUAGAUACCCGGGUAGUCCCAGCUGUAAACGAUGCAGACUCGGUGAUGGGCCGGCUUCAUGCCGGCUCAGUGCCGCAGGGAAGCCGUUAAGUCUGCCGCCUGGGGAGUACGGUCGCAAGACUGAA
rnacentral:rRNA from 1 species